UAUGGUUUCUCUCAUUUUUAAGCAAGCAUUACAUUUGGAUGCUAAGUGAUUUAACAAAUACAACAGAGGAAGGGACUGAGGGUUCAAAAUACAAGGGCAAGAUGCUCGUGAUUUUUGCUUUAGAAAAUAGUGUGCCUAACAGUGGUAGGUGGAAAGCUAUGCAUGUUAAACCUGUAGUGUGUUUUCUGUGGUUCGUCUUUGAACCACUUUGUUCUGAGAGUUACCUACUUUUUUUUUUGUUUUUUUGAGACAGGGUUUCUCUGUAUAGCCCUGGCUGUCCUGGAACUCAUUUUGUAGACCAGGCUGGCCUCGAACUCAGAAAUCUGCCUGCUUCUAGAGUGCUGGGAUUAAAGGCGUGCGCCACCACGCCCGGCUGAGUUACCUACUUUUAUAUUACUUGCUGUUUGUACUUUACCUAAAUUAUCAUUACACAUUUGAGUGUCUUUCAUUCUUCCUUUUAGAAUUUUAUAAGAAAAUACAAAAAGAUAAGUUAAAUAUUUAAAUUAACUAAAGUAUAAGGAACUUGGAUCAUAGAUGGUGUUCCCAUCUGCUUUUACCUUUUUAGGACUCUAGGUGCCUCCAUUCUCUUUACUUUUAUAAUUGAACUGUUGUAUUUUUACUUUAUUUUUAUUUACUUAAUUUAGAUUUGUUAUUACUUUGUGUCUAAGAGUGUUUUGUACCACAUGUUUGCCUGAUGCCCAAAGAGGUGAGCUUCCAUGUGUGUACUGGGAAUCAAACCUGAGCCCUUUGCAAGAACAAAUGUUCUUAACCAAUGAGCAAACUCUUCCAGCUCCUGAGUAGUCCAGGCUAGCCUUGAACUUAAUUAUGAUUAUCCUGUCUUUUUCAGCAAAUCCUACUGGCUUGAGCAACCACAACUAUCCAUUGAUGGUGAUUGUGGUAUUAAUUGUGGGUUGUUAGUAGUAAUGUCUUUAUAUUCCCUUCUACUUACUGUUCUCCUUUUUUCUUCUCAGUCCAUCCUACUGGACUGAUGUUCAUGGUUUUGAAUAUAUAAACCACUUCCAACAAUUCUCUCCUAGAAAGUCAUUUGGUUCUAGUUAUGCCACUCUUUGUUCUCCAAAUAGGGUAUAAUUUUUUAUUCUUUCAAAAUGUGCUGAACAUAUUGCUUAUUAGUCUUUAGUGUGUGUAAAUGACUUUACUUCCUGGAAAUGCACCUCAUACAUCCUGAUACUUGAUAGAAAUAACCUUCCAUGAGUUGUUUUGAAAAUAUAAGCACUGGAAAGUUUUGAGUCAAGAGAACAUGUUCUUUGUUCUUCAAUACUUGCUGGAUGAUAAUGCUGCAUGGCAAGGAACCGAGCACAAGGAGUGGUGGCUCCUGAUAGAGGCCUGAGGAGUGUGACAGUGAUCAAAACUGUCUCCAUUGAAUUUAUUAACUCAGUUUAGUCAGUUUGCACAAGUUAUCUUGAAAGGGUUUUCAUAAACCUCUUAUUUGAUUCAUAUAACAAUCGAAAAGUACUUGUGAAAAGAAAGAGAAAUGAGUUUUUCAGAAUCAGGAGGUUGAUAAGAGAUAAAUGGAGAUUUUUAUUUUUUGGAUUUGGCUUAAUGUCUAGUAUAUUUUUUAUAUAAUAUCCAAAUUUUUUCUCCAUUUACAAGUGUGUGAAUUUUUUACUUAUUAUUGUUUUGUUUUUUUGCUUUUUCAAGACAGGGUUUCUGUGUAUCCUUGACUGUCCUGGAACUUAUUCUGUAGACCAAUUUGGCUUUGAACUCAAAGACCUGCCUGCUUUUGCUUCCUAAGUGCCGGGAUUAAAGGCGUGCGUUACCACCACCUGGCACCUAGUAUAUGUUUUGAGAAACAGCAUUGUAUUGAAUUGUUUUGAUAUUAUUGAGAGGUUUUCAUAUAGCUGCCUUAAGUUUAUUAAAACCAUGUGUAGUAUAAUUUUUAGCUAAUUUAUUUUUUGACACAAGGUCCCUUCUAUAGUCUUGACUGUCUUGGAACUCACUAUGUAGACCAGACUGCCUUUGAACUCAUUGGGAUCCUCAUGGCUCUGCCUUCAUAGUGGUGGGAUUAAAGAUGUGGGCCACCGUAUCCCGCUCAUGUAUGAUAUUUUAUAAUAGGAUCCUUUUAUUUUAUCCAAUGAUUAUUAUUACUGACAUUAAUAUCAGUAACUCAUUUUGUUUUCAAAUUUGGUGUAUAGUACAAUACUAAACAUUCCUGUACAUAUAGUUAUAAUUAGAUCUAUUACUGUUUCUAGUUUUAGUGGUGUGUGUGUGUGAAUGUGUGUUUGUACACAUAUAUUAAUAUACUCUUGAGUUUGAGGAUAUUCAGGGCUACACAGAGAAACCUUAUCUCUAAAACCUCAAAACCCUUAGUCAGCAUAACAGCUAUUGUGCUAUCUAAGGCAUAGUAAAAAUAUGAUGGCUGUGUGCAUUUUUUAUCCAGGAACAUAAAUGGUCAAAGGCCAUGAAGAAUCUGGGAUUUUUAAUAUUUAUUACUACAACAAACAACAAAAGCAAAAUUACAAAACAAAUGUCUCAUCGUAGUGCAUUUCCCACCCCACCUAUUUCCUCAUAGUUUCACCCAGGCAGUGCUUGCAUUAAAGUUGUGUAUCCAGGCUGUUUUUGAAUUUCAUGAGCACCAUGCCCAUCAUACCACUAGCUUAGUAAUGUAUUUCUAAAUCACACACAUAUAAGGAACAUAUUUUAUGUCUUUUUGCCAUCUCUCUCCCACUUGUCAAGGAUGUGUGAAAAAUUUAAAUUUUGUGUUGUGUGAGCACUCUUUCUAAACCAUUUGCUAAAGGAGAGUUUCGUUGACACUACGCCACCCCCAAGACAGUUGUUCUUUGUAGCCCUGGCUCUUCUGGAACUCUAGAGCCAGGCUGACCAGGAAUUCAGAGAUCCACCUCUCUCUGCCUCCCAAGUGAUACAAUUAAGUGUAUAUGCCACCACACACUGAAAGAGAGCCUGUGUUAGCCCUGGCUGAUGUUCAUCUUCCUGAUUCAGUCUUUCAAAUACUAAUUUUAUAGGCUUGGACUACUAGGCACAUUAGAAGGGACAUGGGUCUUGAUCUUUUAAAAUUUAUUAUUUCAACAUCAUAUAUACAUACAUACAUGGGUGUUUUGCCACAUGUGUGUCUGGUGCCCUUCAAGGCUAGAGGAUGGCAUUGGAAUCCCCUAGAAUUAGAGUUACAGACUGUUGUAAGCCAUCAUGUAGGUCCUAGGAAUUGACCUUUGGUCCUGGAAAAGCUACUAGAUCUUUUAACCCCUGAACCUUACCUUUCUAGCCCAAGAUCAUGGUUUUUAAUGGUUAUAUGUUCCAUCAAACUCUGGUAAAGAGGCUCUUAAGAUAUUUCUUUUUUCUAAGAAAAAAAUUAUUAAAGCUUAUAUCCAUGUACCUUUGUACAGAUUAUAUUGCUCAAAUUCUUCAGAGUUGCUUAUUCAAGCCAAAUGUAUUUAAUAGUAAUGACUUGGGAAACAUGGACAGUGCAAAACAUGGUUUGUAGAGAGAAAAACAGAAAUAGACCAUUUUUCUUAGGAAGCUUAGAGUCCAUUUGGAAUGAUAACAUCAACUUUCAGAAAUUAAAAAAUUAAAAGCACUUAAUAGAAUCUACUUUGUUAAACAGGAAAAAAUGUAGAUGUUGAGGAAUUUUAAAGAGCAAUUAUUAGGAUCAGAGAUAAUAAUUGGUCAAGACUUCUUGGAGAAACAUUUGAAAUGGUUUGAAAUCAGAGUAAACCAAGCAUUUUAUUUUGUUUUAUUCACUUUAUUUCUGAAGAGAAGUAUCACCGGCAGCAGCCAGUAUGUUUUCACUUGGUUUUGGAAGCAUUAGUGCUUCAUUUAUGUGGUGUCUGGAUGGAGCUUAAGAGGGGCAAAGGCUCUUGAGAAUUGUUUUGGUCCUCGGUGUAUUUUUGUUGUGGUUUCUUCUGUAGUGGCUUUUAAUUGCUUAGGGUACUAGGGUCAUGGAAAUUGUUGACCAAGGUAGGUUUCCCCUUGCAUUGACUUUUACAAGGGCAGGAAGUUGUAAGGAGUUUCUUUGUGGACUUUUUUUUUUUUUUUUCUUUUAAUACUAUGCCUGAUACCAUAUCAAAGCAGAUACUUUGUCAUGGUGGAUACAAAAGAGAAAGCAACGGACUGUUUCUAUAAUUCAGAAAAACUGUCUUGUGAUACCUGUUGUCCUUGGAGAAAUGUUCCUGGAGAAAUGAGGUUGACUCUGAAGAUACUGGGGUACAGAUACACCUCAUUAUAGCUAGUUUUAGAAGGACACAAGUGAAGUGAAAAAAAUCUCUUAAGGCUAGUUUUAGUUGCCUUGGGUUUUUGCUGUUGUUUUGGGGUUUUGUUUUUGACUGAGGCCCAAACUCUGUGCCUUGUAUUUGCUAAGUAAGUGCUCUAGCACUGAGCUGAGUUCCCAGAUCUAGAAGGCUUGCUUUUAAGAAUGAACUCUGGUCUGGUAAAGAUGGCUUCAUGGAUAAAAGCACUUAGUAUGCAAGCUUGGCAACCAGAAUUCCAUCCUUAGGACUCAUGUAAAAUAAAUGUAGAGGUAGGGAACACACAGACUCUACAAGGUUGUUUUUUUCACUUUCACAGGCAUCCUGUGACACUCACUUCCCCCCAGGCCCCCUUCCAUACACACACAAACAAUAAUAAUG
rnacentral:lncRNA from 1 species